AUAUAUUAUGUGAAAAUGUUGAAUCCAAAGCUUAAUUCCGUUUUGCCUACGAGUGAGCAGGGGAGCUAACGCGGUGUGGUUGCGCAGGGCGUGGCGGACGCGCGCUGGGCCGACUGGCGCGCGCACGCCGCCGUGCUGCUCGCCAACCCCGCGCACGCGCCGCACGACCGCCGCACGCUCACGCAGCUCGGCGACUCGCUAGCGUCCCGCGGGCUGAUAUUCUCGGCGCAGUUCUGCUACCUGACCGCGGGGGUCUCGUUCGAGGCGCACCCGCUGGCGCCGCUGGGCGAGUCCCGCGGCGGGGCGGCGCCGCGCCUGUCGCUGCUGCUGGCGGACGGCAAGGCGCCCACGCUGGGGCGCUUCGCCACCGACACGGCGAUAUUCGCCACCGAGAUAUACGAGUACGCCGUGUCGCUCAACCAGGAGUACGUCAUCCACGACUUGCAAGUGUACAAGCUGGUGGCGGCGGCGCGGCUGGCGGCGGCGGGCGAGUGCGAGCGCGCGCUGCG